CUACGGGAGGCUCCAGUCGAGAGUCUUCCACAAUGGACGAAAGUCUGAUGGAGCGACGUCGCGUGCAGGAUGAAGUCCUUCGGGAUGUAAACUGCUUUUAUUUAUGAAAAAUUUAGAUGAUAUUAGUAGAUGAAUAAGGGGUGGCUAAACUCGUGCCAGAAGCCUCGGUAAUGCGAGUACCCCAAGCGUUAUCCGGAUUUAUUGGGCGUAAAGGGUGUGUAGGGGGUCAUGUUAGUCUUGUUUUAAAACUUCCGGCUUAACCGGAAAGAUGGACAGGAAACGGCAUGACUUUGAGAAUGCGAGAGGUCUGCGGAACUCAUGGUGUAGGGGUGAAAUCCGUUGAUAUCAUGGGGAACACCAAAGGCGAAGGCAGCAGACUGGCGCAUUUCUGACCCUGAAACACGAAAGCGUGGGGAGCAAAGACGGAUUAGAUACCCUCGUAGUC
rnacentral:rRNA from 1 species